UUUUUUUUGCAGGGUAAAAGAGAGUUUCAUUCCAUAAUGACAGGGUUACAAUCUUGAGCCACCAAAUCCUCACAACACGGAGAAGUCGAAUUCAACCAUACCGCAGUACAAGCCUCGGUACGACUAUACAAAGCGAGUUGAUGUUGGCUUUAUUAAUUUAAAGCCGAACGCUCCUUGCGUAUUCGCUCUAAUAAAAAAGAGUUGUGGCGGCAACUUGAAAAUUUUGGGUUGUGGGCGGGGGCGAUGUUUGUUCAGAACUGCUGUGUUGUGUUCUUGAGAUUGUUCAUGUGAGAGGGUGUUCAAACCCAUAGGUGUCAAGGGAAGAAUGUGAAUCUUUUUCUAUCGAAAUGAGAAUGGCUGCCUUCAGUUAUUCUGCAAGGAACAGACUUUUUUUUAUGGGUGUAUUUCAAACCCAGAAAACAAGAUAAGUCGCUAAUUUCACUGUGAAUAUCAAUUCAUCUUUAUAUACCUGUUGCAGUGCUGUAGCAUGUCCUCCAAUGACAGAUUAUUAUUCCUUCAUCUGGACUGUUUUGGAGAUCCUUUUUUUUUCUGUGAGGAAAACUGAUUUGGAGAUCUGAAGAUAAUCUACAGGAAACUUGCUCGACGUGGUGGUAGGUACACAAAGCUGAACUGAACGAGCUUAUUAACACGAGAUCCCGGAGUCCAUCUCGUGCUUAUCAGGGGCAGGGGCAACCAACCAGAAUACUGAUUUCAAACUUUGACACUGUAUCAUUUAAGCUACUACAAGAUGGAAGCUGGCUAAAACCGGCAGGUCAUUCCACAUGUUUGAGAUAGGACACAUCUUCUCUUACACUCCUGAUUGUGUCCAAUGUUUCAGCAUACUCUACUCAAGCAAUGGCCGACCCAGUCUGCAGUUUCGACGGUGGCAGAACCAGGAAUAGCAGGAGAUACAAAAUGUUCUGGUGCGUUGUUUAGGAAUUGCGGGUGAUGCAUGCAACCAAUAAUAUUGCAGGCACGAUGUGGAAGCCCGCAGCCUUUUCUGAACCUGUAAAAUCUGAAAGCAAGACACCAAGUAACUUGUAGUGCCAUCAGUAUGUUUGCAGUUCAGAGCCGCUAAUAUGCGUCUUCAGUUCAGAGCAUAUUAGCGGCUCGUCCGUUCGUUCGGGUUCAGAUGCAGCAAGCCGGAUUGCUUAUAUUGCAAAAAUUGAUAGUCGAAUGAUAAUUUAAGUUCAAAAAAUCAGAGCAUAAGAACACGCGGCUUGAAAAGGCAAGAAAUUUGAUAAUCUAAUCCAACAUUUGGUGCAACCACAUUCAAGAGGAAAGGCUCAGAUACAGGGAGAAUCGGGCAUUCAAAGGCACGUGUAUGAGAACUGGAACCAACAUUUUCAUUUCCAUUGCUGAUGGCAACAAGAAGGUACCAUCAGAUUAGGCAUACCACAUCCACCCACCAUGAGAGGAACAUGGAUCUAACACGACGCACAUUCUGAAACACUACGGAUUUUCCACCGAUGAACUCAGCCUAACAGGGAUCUACGUAUCUGACACGGCGCAUGGACAUGGAUUGCAGCAGCAGCCUAU
rnacentral:lncRNA from 1 species